UGAACGUGCUUCUCUAGAUGCCAAUUGAUGCCGCCGAUACCAUCCUUUGAACGGUGACUGCAGCACAUCCGAAAGUGCAGCACACCCUGGCUUUUGCCCGUUUGCACUUACAAUGAUCACUACCGAAAGUGCAGAGAGUGGCGGAGACCAGAUUAGCUUUCAGCUGGAACCGCUGAAGACCACGCACCUGCCUGGGAAAGCGACGACCAGUGACAGUCAAUCUCUCUACGCGGACAGCACCUCUACCACCAAAGUGACGGCUAACGGUGUGUAUGAUAUUGAAGACAGGAUUCUUAGGAUCACAGGCUACUACGGCUAUUAUCCAGGAUACUCAAGUCAUAAAAGAGAGGAGGGUUCAGAGUCCCAAGCAGAGACGCCGGUCAGCGAGGCGAGCGGAGAGGAGACGUCCUACCAGACGUGUGCCAACACGCUCCUCAAGGUUCUGGGGGGGCUCCUGCUGGUGCUGUGCGUGUCCUCGUCCUGGGUGGGCACCACGCAGGUGGUCAAACUCACCUUCCAGUCCUUCUCCUGCCCGUUCUUCAUCUCCUGGUUCAGCAGCAACUGGAACAUUCUCUUCUUCCCGCUCUACUACUCCGGACACGUAGCCACCACCAGGGACAAGCAGACACCCAUCCAGAAGUUCAGGGAGUGCAGUCGGUUAUUCGGAGAGGAUGGGAUGACCAUGAAGCUGUUCCUCAAGAGGACGGCCCCGUUUUCCAUCUUGUGGACGCUGACUAACUACCUGUACCUGAUGGCUCUGAGGAAGCUGACAGCCACGGACGUGUCCACGCUGUACUGCUGCCACAAGGCCUUCGUCUUCCUGCUGUCCUGGAUCGUGCUAAAGGACCGCUUUAUGGGUGUACGGAUUGUGGCAGCCAUCAUGGCCAUCACAGGCAUCGUGAUGAUGGCGUACGCCGACGGUUUCCACGGCGAUUCCAUUGUGGGAGUGGCCUUGGCUGUGGGCUCCGCCUCCACAUCGGCUCUCUACAAGGUGCUGUUUAAGAUGUUCCUGGGCAGUGCCAACCUGGGAGAGGUGGCCCACUUCCUGUCCACCAUGGGGGUCUUCAACCUCAUCUUCAUCUCCUGCGUUCCUCUCAUCCUCUACUUCACCAGGGUGGAGCACUGGGGCUCGCUCUCCUCCCUGCCCUGGGGGUACCUGUGUGGGCUGGCUGGGCUGUGGCUGGUGUUUAACAUCCUGGUGAAUGUAGGUGUGGUACUCACCUAUCCCAUCCUCAUCUCCAUAGGAACGCUGCUCAGCGUCCCUGGCAACGCAGGUAGGCCACAGGAAACGCAAACAGCAACAUUCCAGAGUUCCAAGGCGUUCAAUCAAGGUUUUUUUUUUGUGUGCCGAACAAUUAGAAAAUAAUACAAAUGACUACUUAAAUCACAAAUACUGUUUUGAUAAUAAUUUUUGAUAAUAAGAAAUGUAAUGUUUUUGUGACUAACCUGCAGCCCGCAUGAUUACGUUGUUGGUGGUACUUGGGUGGUUCGGUCGGAUCAGAGGCGGUACUCGCUCUGAACAGUUCGAGGACCCCCGGUUUAACAAAUCGAAAUGAAACAAAAUCGCUUGAAUUUCCAAGAUGAGAGUAAAUAUCCGUUGGGUGUGUGUAGCGCUGUGUGGUGUGGCAUCCAGAGGUCAGCACUUCUAAAGGCCCUCGCAGCAAACAGAUUACACAGCAAGUCCAUCUCUAUCCUCACUUCAGAAACCCAAUCAUCAGGAUGCCUCCACAGACUCUGCAACUAUCUCUCACUGAGGGAGGAUCAGGUUGCUAAGGCGACACUAAACGCCUGCAGACGAGUUGUUUUCCUUAACCACGGUAGCCUGUAUGAAGCCAUCGACGUGCUAAAACAGGAGGUGUUCAGCGUGGUGCGUCUGGCUGCCACCUGCAUCAUCUGCCUGGGCUUCCUCCUCCUGCUGCUUCCUGAGGAGUGGGACUCGGUCAC